rnacentral:rRNA from 1 species
UACGUAGGGUGCGAGCGUUAAUCGGAAUUACUGGGCGUAAAGCGUGCGCAGGCGGUGAGCUGUGUCCGAUGUGAAAGCCCCCGGGCUUAACCUGGGAAUGGCAUUGGAAACUGGCUUCGCUGGAGUGUGGCAGAGGGGGGUGGAAUUCCGCGGUGUAGCAGUGAAAUGCGUAGAGAUGCGGAGGAACACCGAUGGCGAAGGCAGCCCCCUGGGCUGACACUGACGCCUCAGCACGAAAGCGUGGGGAGGCAAACAGG